UACGUAGGGUGCGAGCGUUGUCCGGAAUUAUUGGGCGUAAAGAGCUCGUAGGCGGUGUGUCGCGUCGGCCGUGAAAACCUGCAGCUUAACUGUGGGCUUGCGGUCGAUACGGGCAUCACUGGAGUUCGGCAGGGGAGACUGGAAUUCCUGGUGUAGCGGUGAAAUGCGCAGAUAUCAGGAGGAACACCGGUGGCGAAGGCGGUUCUCUGGGCAUGACCUGACGCUGAGGAGCGAAAGUGUGGGGAGCGAACAGG
rnacentral:rRNA from 1 species